GACGAACGCUGGCGGCGUGCCUAAUACAUGCAAGUAGAACGCUGAAGGAGGAGCUUGCUCUUCUGGAUGAGUUGCGAACGGGUGAGUAACGCGUAGGUAACCUGCCUGGUAGCGGGGGAUAACUAUUGGAAACGAUAGCUAAUACCGCAUAAGAGUAGAUGUUGCAUGACAUUUGCUUAAAAGGUGCAAUUGCAUCACUACCAGAUGGACCUGCGUUGUAUUAGCUAGUUGGUGGGGUAACGGCUCACCAAGGCGACGAUGCAUAGCCGACCUGAGAGGGUGAUCGGCCACACUGGGACUGAGACACGGCCCAGACUCCUACGGGAGGCAGCAGUAGGGAAUCUUCGGCAAUGGACGGAAGUCUGACCGAGCAACGCCGCGUGAGUGAAGAAGGUUUUCGGAUCGUAAAGCUCUGUUGUAAGAGAAGAACGAGUGUGAGAGUGGAAAGUUCACACUGUGACGGUAUCUUACCAGAAAGGGACGGCUAACUACGUG
rnacentral:rRNA from 1 species